UGUCUUAUGGUGUAAUGGUAGCACGACAGAUUCUGGUCCUGUUAGUAAAGGUUCGAGUCCUUUUAAGACAA
rnacentral:tRNA from 1 species